GAGUUUGAUCCUGGCUCAGAGCGAACGCUGGCGGCAGGCUUAACACAUGCAAGUCGAGCGGGCACUUCGGUGUCAGCGGCAGACGGGUGAGUAACGCGUGGGAACAUACCUUUUGGUUCGGAACAACACAGGGAAACUUGUGCUAAUACCGGAUAAGCCCUUACGGGGAAAGAUUUAUCGCCGAAAGAUUGGCCCGCGUCUGAUUAGCUUGUUGGUGAGGUAACGGCUCACCAAGGCGACGAUCAGUAGCUGGUCUGAGAGGAUGAUCAGCCACAUUGGGACUGAGACACGGCCCAAACUCCUACGGGAGGCAGCAGUGGGGAAUAUUGGACAAUGGGCGCAAGCCUGAUCCAGCCAUGCCGCGUGAGUGAUGAAGGCCCUAGGGUUGUAAAGCUCUUUUAACGGGGAAGAUAAUGACGGUGCCCGUAGAAUAAGCCCCGGCUAACUUCGUGCCAGCAGCCGCGGUAAUACGAAGGGGGCUAGCGUUGCUCGGAAUCACUGGGCGUAAAGGGUGCGUAGGUGGAUAUUUAAGUCAGGGG
rnacentral:rRNA from 1 species